GAGAUAUCUUUAGCCGCUAUAGUUAGCCAGCCCCCCGGUAGCCGGUGCGGUCCGACCGAAGGUAGCUUCUGUUAGCUCUGUAGAUCCCCCGGUAGUUCCCGAGCAGCCGGGAAGACAGGGAGGCU